rnacentral:rRNA from 1 species
CCCGCCUGGGGAGUACGGCCGCAAGGCUAAAACUCAAAGGAAUUGACGGGGACCCGCACAAGCGGCGGAGCAUGCGGAUUAAUUCGAUGCAACGCGAAGAACCUUACCAAGGCCUGACAUACACGAGAACGCUGCAGAAAUGUAGAACUCUUUGGACACUCGUGAACAGGUGGUGCAUGGUUGUCGUCAGCUCGUGUCGUGAGAUGUUGGGUUAAGUCCCGCAACGAGCGCAACCCUCGUUCUAUGUUGCCAGCACGUAAUGGUGGGAACUCAUGGGAUACUGCCGGGGUCAUCUCGGAGGAAGGUGGGGAUGACGUCAAAUCAUCAUGCCCCUUAUGUCUUGGGCUUCACGCAUGCUACAAUGUCCGGUACAAAGGGCUGCAAUACCGCAAGGUGGAGCGAAUCCCAAAAAGCCGGUCCCAGUUCGGAUUGAGGUCUGCAACUCGACCUCAUGAAGUCGGAGUCGCUAGUAAUCGCAGAUCAGCAACGCUGCGGUGAAUACGUUCCCGGGUCUUGUACACACCGCCCGUCAAGUCAUGAAAGUCGGUAACACCUGAAGCCGGUGGCCCAACCCUUGUGGAGGGAGCCGUCGAAGG